rnacentral:rRNA from 1 species
GGCUACACAUGCAGUCGAGCGGAGAGAGGUAGCUUGCUACUGAUCUUAGCGGCGGACGGGUGAGUAAUGCUUAGGAAUCUGCCUAUUAGUGGGGGACAACAUUUCGAAAGGAAUGCUAAUACCGCAUACGUCCUACGGGAGAAAGCAGGGGAUCUUCGGACCUUGCGCUAAUAGAUGAGCCUAAGUCGGAUUAGCUAGUUGGUGGGGUAAAGGCCUACCAAGGCGACGAUCUGUAGCGGGUCUGAGAGGAUGAUCCGCCACACUGGGACUGAGACACGGCCCAGACUCCUACGGGAGGCAGCAGUGGGGAAUAUUGGACAAUGGGCGCAAGCCUGAUCCAGCCAUGCCGCGUGUGUGAAGAAGGCCUUAUGGUUGUAAAGCACUUUAAGCGAGGAGGAGGCUACUUUAGUUAAUACCUAGAGAUAGUGGACGUUACUCGCAGAAUAAGCACCGGCUAACUCUGUGCCAGCAGCCGCGGUAAUACAGAGGGUGCAAGCGUUAAUCGGAUUUACUGGGCGUAAAGCGCGCGUAGGCGGCUAAUUAAGUCAAAUGUGAAAUCCCCGAGCUUAACUUGGGAAUUGCAUUCGAUACUGGUUAGCUAGAGUGUGGGAGAGGAUGGUAGAAUUCCAGGUGUAGCGGUGAAAUGCGUAGAGAUCUGGAGGAAUACCGAUGGCGAAGGCAGCCAUCUGGCCUAACACUGACGCUGAGGUGCGAAAGCAUGGGGAGCAAACAGGAUUAGAUACCCUGGUAGUCCAUGCCGUAAACGAU